UCCAAGAUUAUUUGUUAAUACAAUUUCCAUUAAAAAAAAAAUCUCUAGUGUGUUAGCAAACUUCAAAUUUAUCUAUCCUGCUGCAACUUAGAGAUGAAGAUCUGGACAAUUAUAUCUCCCAGUGAUGUGGUCAUUCUUAUUCUUUGUCCGAAAUUCUAUCUCGAUCCCGUUUUGAUCCAAAAACAUCAGAUGAAGGCAUUAUAAAAUUAUGGGGAUGCAAAUGCACAUACAAGACAUCUUAUCUGAGAC
rnacentral:lncRNA from 1 species